rnacentral:rRNA from 1 species
GACGGACGCUGGCGGCGCGCUUAACACAUGCAAGUCGAGCGAGAACCAGUCCUUCGGGGCUGGGGACAGCGGCGAACGGGUGAGUAACACGUGGGUAAUCUGCCCUCGGCACCGGAAUAGCCCGGGGAAACCCGGAUUAAUGCCGGAUGGCCUCUCUGCCCCUCGGGGCGGCGAGAAAAGGUAGCUUCGGCCUCCGGCCGAGGAUGAGCCCGCGGCCGAUGAGCUUGUUGGGGAGGUAACGGCUCACCAAGGCGACGAUCGGUAGCUGGUCUGAGAGGACGAUCAGCCACACUGGGACUGAGACACGGCCCAGACUCCUACGGGAGGCAGCAGUGGGGAAUCUUGCGCAAUGGGCGAAAGCCUGACGCAGCGACGCCGCGUGCGGGAAGAAGGCCUUCGGGUUGUAAACCGCUUUCAGGAGGGACGAAGCCACUCGGGUUAAUAGCCUAGAGGGUGACGGUACCUCCAGAAGAAGCCCCGGCUAACUACGUGCCAGCCGCCGCCGUAAAAC